UCUUUCAAUAUGAGAGUUUGAUCCUGGCUCAGAACGAACGCUGGCGGCAGGCCUAACACAUGCAAGUCGAACGCUCCGCAAGGGGAGUGGCAGACGGGUGAGUAACACGUGGGAAUCUUCCUAUUGGUAUGGAAUAGCUCAGGGAAACUUGGGGUAAUACCGUAUAAGCCCGAGAGGGGAAAGAUUUAUCGCCA
rnacentral:rRNA from 1 species